UGUUCUGUGGCUUAGUUGGUUAAAGCGCCGGUCUUGCUAAUACGAAGUCGUGGGUUCAAAUCCCACCAGAACGC
rnacentral:tRNA from 1 species